AAAAAAUUAGGUUAUGACAACACUUAACAUAGAUUGUCUAGGUUUAGUUGAAAAAGUAUAAAAAAAAACCUAUGAUUGUUGAACAUGCCGUAAAAAACAAAAUAUUAAAACUUGUGACAGAUUUGUCUUUGGAAGGGAAGGAAUGACUGUUGUGUAAGGACAAAGUGAAAAAGGUUCUAAGGAGAUUAAUAUUAAUGGGAAUGUUUACCGUGGCCAUAUACUUAAAGACCUUAAACAUUUGAAUUAGAUUUGGAAGACUGGUACCAAUGGCCAACUGAUAAUGGGUUCCUAUGGGGUACUGCCGGUGAGUUAUAGGAAUGUAUAUGAAGGCAAAACUAAAAUGUGAUUUGGGAAGAUUUUCCAGAGUGGCCUGAUAGAAAGAAUAGAACAUUACAGUUUUUCAUUUUGUUCACUUUGAUUUUAUUAAACCUCUAAAACAAAUUGAUAUUUGAGAAGGAGAGACAAGGGUAUGUAAAGGAUAUAAUGAUAUUUUUCCUAAUAAUGCUAGUGUACGUGUCCUAUAGAAAGGAGAAGAGGUAGUAUUUAGGAAAAGAUGAGAGAAAAAGGAGUGUCUUGCUUAGUAGCUUUUUUAUGAUAACAUUGAAAGUUUCUCUCUUGAAACUUGAAAUUUUGAAGUACUGUAAUUCAGUAUGGGUGAGUAUCUUAAUUUGGAAAAAAACCACUAAGCUGACUUGUAAUACAAAGUAAAUGGUAACAUUUUCAUUCAUAGCUAAAUAUUAAGUAGCAGAAAAGAAUUGUCAUGGAAAUCAUUUUUUGCUUUUAAACUUUCAAUUCAUCUAUAUAUGUAAAUAAAGUCUUAAUGCAAGCAAAAUUUUACAGAAAUAGUUAUGUAAUUAUGAAGUAAUUUCAGGACUUCCCAUGACAUUUAAUGAUGGAAACUAUUUUUCUGAUUUCCAAACCAAAACUAACAUGCAUCUUAUAAUUUAAUAAGAAAUGAUCACCCGAUUAUAUUCAGUCAUAUACUCACCUGAACCAAUACUCCAUCUGGAACUAGAAUACAAAAAUACUUUGAAUGGUCUGAAAGUACUAUUUGUUAAAAAUGUUCAGUACUGAAAUAUCAGUUGGAAUUUUGCCAGGUGAAUGUGAGAGCAG
rnacentral:lncRNA from 1 species